CGACGAGCUCCUCUCUUCGCCUGUCGCCCACCUCUUCUUGAGGGAAAGAUGAGAAGCAGCCAGCAGAAGCAGCAGAAGGAGGAGGAGGAGGAGACCUGUGCUGUGCAGCGCUAGGGAGCUAGCGAGCUGUUUCUGCGGCGGUGUCCUCUAUGUGAGCCAACAUGUCAGCUGUGAGGGCUUCCUCCAGCCGCCUCCUCACACUCUGCACCAGGUCCUCCUGCUUCCUGAUGGACACAGACAAGAAAAAUAAAUAAAGGAGAGGCAGUAAUAAAAACAAGCCUUUAGUAGCUUUAAGAUACAAUGAUGACAAGGAAAAAGUGUUUCAUUCAAAAGGGUUUUCAUUAUCUGUAAGCCAUAACUAUCAAAAUUUCAAGAAAUAAAGGCUUGAAAUAUUUUA